rnacentral:lncRNA from 1 species
CGGCUUAGCUUUUAUAUGCAUUUGUGGAUUUCAAGUUGGAGUUUGAAUGUUGUCAUGGUCAUUCAAUGUGAUAAUGUGGGUUCGCUUGGUUCCUUUGGCCCUGGCUUUGUCUCUUGAAAUUUUGGUUUUCCAGCUUUGGAGGGUACCGCAAAUUGUCUUCCUUCAUUUCUUUCCAUCUCUAGUAGACAGUUCGUCCUCUCACAACAGUGCCUCUCCUGAUCUUCUUAUGUAGGAUUGCUCUCCAAGUUGUAAGGUGGGGUCUUGCUCAGCUUCCGUUGAUCAUGAGCGAGAGGGAGCACUUGCAUUGUCGUAGUUCUCUUUUGUUUGGGAGGUGAGGAUGUCAGUUUUGGUGACCCUACUCUUGAGUUUUCUCCGCUGAGGCCUCGACCUCGGGGGCAGCCAAGGAAGAAGCGUGACUCGGAGGGGGGUCCUCGUAGGCCUAGAGGUCGUCCAAAGAAGGUUGUUUGUGAGGAUGUCGUGUGCAGUCCGCGUGGUGGUCCUCCUUCUCCUUUUGGCCCAUACUUCACGCGCGCUAGAUAGCCUUAUUUUAUCGGAAAACAAAAAGGUUUGGAAUUCCUCUACAACGAGGAAGAGGCCAUUCGUGGUCUGGCGAUGCGGACUCAUUGUACUUAGAGAUAAUGGGCUUGCGGGCUCGUAGCGAGCUUGGGUUAGCCGGUUGUUUUUUUUGGCAGUUAGGUCCUUGAGUUUGGUUUUUGGCUGUCUUGGCUUGUGGGGUCUCUGGUUUUUUUCUCGUGGUUUCGUUUGUUAUUUGGUUUUUGUCAGACUCCCUUGUGGGGUUGUAAUUUGCUUUACUUUUUAAUAAAUUAUUUCACUCUCUUAAAUAAUGACUUAAGAAAAAUAAUUAUGACUAAAACUUAAUAAAUUUAAAUUUAC